rnacentral:rRNA from 1 species
GGAUUCCCCUAGUAAUGGCGAAUGAAGCGGGAACAGCUCAAAUUUGAAAUCUGCGUCGCGUGCGACGUCGAAUUGUAGUUUCUAGAAGCACUUUCUAGGCGGGUCCGGGGCCGUCCAAGUUGCUUGGAACAGCACGUCAUAGAGGGUGACAACCCCGUCUGUGGCGGAACCGGCCGCUGACGAUGUGCUUUCGACGAGUCGGGUUGUUUGGGAAUGCAGCCCAAAAUGGGUGGUAAACUCCAUCUAAAGCUAAAUAUUGGCACGAGACCGAUAGCGAACAAGUACCGUGAGGGAAAGAUGAAAAGCACUUUGAAAAGAGAGUUAAACAGUACGUGAAACCGUUAAAAGGGAAACGGAUGGGGUCAGCAAUGCGCUCCGCGAGAUUCAGCCGAGCGGUGCGUCGGGCGGGUGGUUUGCGGAUCUGAAUGGACCGCGGCCGCUCGGAUCGGCGUUCCGACCGUCGCACUUCUCGCGAGUGCGCGCCAGCGUCGGUUGGCACUGGGUCUGAAAGGCGCGGGCAAGGUAGGCCGCCCCCUUCGGGGGGCGGUCGUUAUAGGCCUGCGUCGCAUGGCUCGGGGCCGACCGAGGAGUCGCGGCGUGUGCCUCCCCUCGGGGUUGGCUGGGGUCUUGUCUCGCCGAUUGGUAGUCGAAUGCGGUGGACUGCGUGCAGUGCACUGCGACCGCUGUCGGUCGCCGGGACGGUGACUUCGCACCACGCGCCAAGGACGCUGGCGAUCAAAUGGCCUCAUUCGACCCGUCUUGAAACACGGACCAAGGAGUCUAACAUGUGCGCGAGUCUUCGAGUGAAGGAAGCUCGCGGGCGCAAUGAAAGUGAAGGUGGCCUCGUUGUCGCCGAGGCGAGAGCCCGUCCUCCGGGGCGGGUGCAUCGUCGACCGACCUAUUCUGCUCUCAGGAAGGUUUGAGUGGGAGCGCACCUG